GUCGAAAUUGCUCAGUUGGGAGAGUGUUUGACUGCAGAUUUAAAGGUCCCUGGUUCAAUCCUGGGUUUCGGCA
rnacentral:tRNA from 1 species